rnacentral:rRNA from 1 species
CGACGAGAAUUACCGGCAGAUCCCUUCGGGGUGAAGCCGGUAAUGGAAAGUGGCGGACGGGCGAGUAACGCGUGAGUAACCUGCCCAUAAGAGGGGGAUAAUCCAUGGAAACGUGGACUAAUACCGCAUAUUGAAUAUUUACCGCAUGGUAGAUAUUUGAAAGAUUUAUCGCUUAUGGAUGGACUCGCGUCAGAUUAGCUGGUUGGUGAGGUAACGGCUCACCAAGGCGACGAUCUGUAGCCGAACUGAGAGGUUGAUCGGCCGCAUUGGGACUGAGACACGGCCCAGACUCCUACGGGAGGCAGCAGUGGGGAAUAUUGCGCAAUGGGGGGAACCCUGACGCAGCAACGCCGCGUGCAGGAAGAGGGUCUUCGGAUUGUAAACUGUUGUCGCAGGGGAAGAAGACAGUGACGGUACCCUGUGAGAAAGUCACGGCUAACUACGUGCCAGCAGCCGCGGUAAUACGUAGGUGACAAGCGUUGUCCGGAUUUACUGGGUGUAAAGGGCGCGUAGGCGGAUGUGCAAGUCAGUCGUGAAAUACCGGGGCUCAACCCCGGGGCUGCGAUUGAAACUGCACACCUUGAGUAUCGGAGAGGAAAGCGGAAUUCCUAGUGUAGCGGUGAAAUGCGUAGAUAUUAGGAGGAACACCAGUGGCGAAGGCGGCUUUCUGGACGACAACUGACGCUGAGGCGCGAAAGUGUGGGGAGCAAACAGGAUUAGAUACCCUGGUAGUCCACACCGUAAACGAUGGAUACUAGGU